rnacentral:miRNA from 10 species
GUGAUUAUUCGUGUGUGUCUGUAUAUCUAUACACAUGCAUAUAUAUAUACACACACACACACAUACACACACUUUUCCCCCAAA